UCAGUUCGGAUUGUAGUCUGCAACCCGACCUACAUGGAGCUGGAAUCGCUAGUAAUCGCAGAUCAGAAUGCUGCGGUGAAUACGUUCCCGGGUCUUGUACACACCGCCCGUCACACCAUGGGAGUUGGAAAUGCCCGAAGCCAGUGACCCAACCGUAAGGAGGGAGCUGUCGAAGGUGGAGCCGAUGACUGGGGUGAAGUCGUAACAAGGUACC
rnacentral:rRNA from 1 species